AGAGCCCACCAGCAAUCUCUCUGCUGCAGAUCCCACCAUGCUCCGUGCUGCCGUCAUUCUAUUGGUCGUCUUUGCAGUGGUGCUUAGUGGCCAAGAACUCUCAGAUCUGUCCUUUCUGACAUGUGCAAAUUACAGAGGGUACUGCCGCCACCAUUGCUUUGGGCACGAGUAUAAUCUGGGGGCCUCCAGCUGUCCUAAAAAAUUCAGGUGCUGUAUCUCUAGAACAUAAGAUGCAGUUUGGAUGUGCCCAUGAGACUGAUCAGCAGUGGUUACUACAUUAUGUUCCUAUUAACUGAAAAUCCUUGUUCAAGGCACCAAGAUAUUCUUCAAUGUUAUAUAAAUUUAAAUCUCCGGAACAACUAUUGUAUUAUAAAGAUGCAAUAAAUACUUAUUGUGGUUGA